UACGGAGGUCUCAAGCGUUGUUCGGAUUCAUUGGGCGUAAAGGGUGCGUAGGCGGCGCGGUAAGUCGGGGUGUGAAAUCUUGGAGCUUAACUCCGAAACUGCAUUCGAUACUGCCGUGCUUUGAGGACUGGAGAGGAGACUGGAAAUUUUACGGUGUAGCGGUGAAAAUGCGUAGAUAUCGUAAGGAAGACCCAGUGGCGAAAGGCGGGGUCUCU
rnacentral:rRNA from 1 species